ensembl:lncRNA
CGGGCUGAGCUGAGGGCCGGGCCGGGCCGGGCUGAGGGGCGUUGAUACCCAACAGCGGGAAUUGAGCUCUGGAGGCUUUUCUGUCAGAAUUAGUUUCCAGUUCAUGCGUCGGGCCACUCACUUCACUUUUUCCAAACGCCUACAAGUCUUGGGGCUUUUUUGAAGGGGAAGAAGAAAUGUUUUCCUCUGUGGACCAGCCAGGAAAUAGCUGUUGUUGGCAAGGACAAGGAUAAAGGGUCAUGCUAAGGAAGAUGACAAAAGACAGAUAACAACAAGUCUGUCAGAAACUGAUGAGAAUUUCAUCAAGACUGAAGAAGUCAGUCAAGAUAAACAUUCCCUUGAAAUAUCCCGAUGAACCUGGACUUUCAGAAAGUAGUAAAUGUUCAGUGUAUGAACACAGCAUUUCUUUCAGGCACAUGUUAGAAAUGAACUCCUGACCGAAAUAAAACAGAAGACUGUCUCCA